CUUGGUCAUUUAGAGGAAGUAAAAGUCGUAACAAGGUCUCCGUUGGUGAACCAGCGGAGGGAUCAUUUCCGAGUUAUACAACUCAUCAACCCUGUGAACAUACCUAAAACGUUGCUUCGGCGGGAACAGACGGCCCUGUAACAACGGGCCGCCCCCGCCAGAGGACCCCUAACUCUGUUUUUAUAAUGUUUUUCUGAGUAAACAAGCAAAUAAAUUAAAACUUUCAACAACGGAUCUCUUGGCUCUGGCAUCGAUGAAGAACGCAGCGAAAUGCGAUAAGUAAUGUGAAUUGCAGAAUUCAGUGAAUCAUCGAAUCUUUGAACGCACAUUGCGCCCGCCAGUAUUCUGGCGGGCAUGCCUGUUCGAGCGUCAUUACAACCCUCAGGCCCCCGGGCCUGGCGUUGGGGAUCGGCGGAAGCCCCCUGUGGGCACACGCCGUCCCUCAAAUACAGUGGCGGUCCCGCCGCAGCUUCCAUUGCGUAGUAGCUAACACCUCGCAACUGGAGAGCGGCGCGGCCAUGCCGUAAAACACCCAACUUCUGAAUGUUGACCUCGAAUCAGGUAGGAAUACCCGCUGAACUUAAGCAUAUCAAUAAGCGGAGGA
rnacentral:rRNA from 1 species